rnacentral:rRNA from 1 species
AACGAACGCUGGCGGCAGGCCUAACACAUGCAAGUCGAGCGGACAUCUUCGGAUGUUAGCGGCGGACGGGUGAGUAACGCGUGGGAACGUGCCCUUUGCUUCGGAAUAGCCUCGGGAAACUGGGAGUAAUACCGGAUGUACCCUUUGGGGGAAAGAUUUAUCGGCAAAGGAUCGGCCCGCGUUGGAUUAGGUAGUUGGUGGGGUAAUGGCCUACCAAGCCGACGAUCCAUAGCUGGUUUGAGAGGACGAUCAGCCACACUGGGACUGAGACACGGCCCAGACUCCUACGGGAGGCAGCAGUGGGGAAUCUUAGACAAUGGGGGAAACCCUGAUCUAGCCAUGCCGCGUGAGCGAUGAAGGCCUUAGGGUUGUAAAGCUCUUUCACCGGGGAAGAUAAUGACGGUACCCGGAGAAGAAGCCCCGGCUAACUCCGUG